rnacentral:rRNA from 1 species
UACAGAGGUGCCGAGCGUUAGGCGGAAUCACUGGGCUUAAAGCGUGUGUAGGCGGGUUUUUAAGUAUCUUGUGAAAUCCCACGGCUCAACCGUGGAACUGCUGGGUAUACUGCGAAUCUUGAGCCACUUAGGGGCAACCGGAACAAAUGGUGGAGCGGUGAAAUGCGUAGAUAUCAUUUGGAACGCCAAUGGUGAAAACAGGUUGCUGGGAGUGUGCUGACGCUGAGACACGAAAGCCAGGGGAGCGAACGGG